UACGGAGGGGGCUAGCGUUGUUCGGAAUUACUGGGCGUAAAGCGCACGUAGGCGGCUUUGUAAGUUAGAGGUGAAAGCCCAGGGCUUAACCCUGGAAUUGCCUUUAAGACUGCAUCGCUAGAAUCGUGGAGAGGUAAGUGGAAUUCCGAGUGUAGAGGUGAAAUUCGUAGAUAUUCGGAAGAACACCAGUGGCGAAGGCGACUUACUGGACACGUAUUGACGCUGAGGUGCGAGAGCGUGGGGAGCAAACCGG
rnacentral:rRNA from 1 species